AAACUGACGAAUUGCAGACAUGUUGCUGUCCUAUUCCCUUCCUCACCACCACCACCACCACCACCCAUCAACAUUUAUUAAGUGCACUGAGGAUUCAAAAACAGCACCCAGGUGCACUCAAGGAGCUAAAACAUGGAAAAGACAUCAUCAUCUCCGGCCUCUUCACCCAGCAGAGAUAUUUUGAGGACAGGAUCCACUAAGAUCUCAGAAGUGAUAGAAGUCCAAGCAGUACACAAAGCUAAGUGAGGGAAGGGCUGUGCCCCUGGGCAAGACUGAAGGAAAGUAGGACUUGAGUCAUCGGGACGGUCACAUGUUUCGACAUCAAAAUCGGAUAUGAUUUCAUGGGUAGAAAUGACAUGAAAGAAGAUGCGUUACCAUCUGCUUUGGACAUCUUUCCACCGGAUCUGCAGCUUCUUGUCUCCUCCUGGAGGAUGUGAGCACCUGCGAACAAAGACCCUUUGAACCCUCAGGGCUUAGGACAAUGCUUUGCUCGUGCUUAAUAAAGGCGUUUUCUUUCUUC